UGCGAAACUCGAAUGAACGAACGGGGAGAUUCAUCGUUAUUCCGCGGCGUGGCGGCGCGCUCUCGAUGCUCACGGCCUCGGCCGUGCGGUACGGGGCGCGUCGCUCGACGUUCGCGGACGGCGUGCACUUCUCCCUUAGUACUGCAUCGCGACCCGUUCGACGUCGGCCUAAGCUCCGUUCGGGAGUCACUGUCGCGCCUCUCGGGGCGCGGCGGUGACCGUGACGGUCGCCGGCCGGCUGUCGGACGGUAUUCUGACGGAUCGCGUACGCGUUAACGCGCGUCCGGCCCGACGCAAGGCUACGUCGUUCACUUCCGUCCUGCCCAUGUGCGGGCGGGGGUGCGGCGCGCCUGUUGUCGCAGCCGUGCUGUCUCGGACUGUACGCGUCCCGUGUCUGC
rnacentral:rRNA from 1 species